UCGACUUAGCCAGGACGGCCUGGCACUGCACCUCCAGCCUUCUGCUCCGCUGGGCUGCCCUUGCCCUGACUCAGCCUGGGGUUUAAGACCUCGGAGCUCUGGCUUCCUAGGAGGGGCAAAGUCCGAGGGAGCAGAAGGUGCAGCUGCAGCAGGGAGGAGAAACCAAGUGGGGACCCCUUCUCGAUAAAGCCCCCGAGAAACUUAGAUGAAGGAGAGCUGUGGCAUUGGUCCCCCCAAAUUAAAAGUGCUUGAGGAUCUGAGAACUGACCUCUCCAGUGAAGGAGCUGAGAUUUACAACUAGCAACUGAGGAGGGAGUAAGAGAAGGCAAAACAAGACGUUACCCAAGUAAUAGAGACAGCCACAAACCAGGCUCCUAGGAUCGAAUGCAUCAUCUUGACACGAACCCUUGAGAUGUUUUUACAGGGACAAGGACUCAAUCAAGUGUCCCAGCCCUUGGAAUGUGCUGACCAGAUGUGGAAGAAGGACCCCAGGCUGACGAGCCAGGAGAGUGCUAAGCAGAAGCCAGGGCCGACUCUUUGUCCUGUGCAGGCUGCUUGCACGUCCGCACCCCCUUCUGCUCUUCCCACCCACCAGUCUCUCCCUUAACCUUAAAAAUCCUUGCUUGCAAGCUUUCAAAGAGCUCGGGUUCUUGUUCAGCAUUAGCUGCCUGACUUCCAAUUACUUGGCCUCGUAAUUAAAGCCUAAUUCCCCUCAUUGCAA